AUUGAACGCUGGCGGCAGGCCUAACACAUGCAAGUCGGACGGUAGCACAGAGGAGCUUGCUCCUUGGGUGACGAGUGGCGGACGGGUGAGUAAUGUCUGGGGGUCUGCCCGAUAGAGGGGGAUAACCACUGGAAACGGUGGCUAAUACCGCAUAACGUCGCAAGACCAAAGAGGGGGACCUUCGGGCCUCUCACUAUCGGAUGAACCCAGAUGGGAUUAGCUAGUAGGCGGGGUAAUGGCCCACCUAGGCGACGCACCCUAGCUGGUCUGAGAGGAUGACCAGCCACACUGGAACUGGGACACGGUCCAGACUCCUACGGGAGGCAGCAGUGGGGAAUAUUGCACAAUGGGCGCAAGCCUGAUGCAGCCAUGCCGCGUGUAUGAAGAAGGCCUUCGGGUUGUAAAGUACUUUCAGCGGGGAGGAAGGCGGUGAGGUUAAUAACCUCACCGAUUGACGUUACCCGCAGAAGAAGCACCGGCUAACUCCGUGCCAGCCGCCGCGGUAA
rnacentral:rRNA from 1 species